CUUUACUGUUUACGGCUGGUAAUUGGCUGUCAUCGAGCAAGUGAAGAUCGAACGGGAUUAUUUCAAGAAAACUCUGCAGCUACUGAAACGUUCGUUGCUGAAAUACGAGCAGCUGUUUUUGGAACACUUGGUCAACAAUUUGUCGUGGCACUUCUUAUGCACAGCGGUUUGGCAGGCUGAAACGGGUCAAAAUGGGUUAACGACUCAAUCGUCGCACUGGUUUCAAGAAGUUGCUCAAGAUCAGGACCAAGGACUCCCCGCAGCAAGG